rnacentral:rRNA from 1 species
AUUGAACGCUGGCGGCAGGCCUAACACAUGCAAGUCGAACGAGUGGCGGACGUGUGACUAAUGUCUGGGAAACUGCCCGAUGGAGGGGGAUAACUACUGGAAACGGUAGCUAAUACCGCAUACCAUCGGAUGUGCCCAGAUGGGAUGAGCUUGUAGGUGAGGUAACGGCUCACCUAGGCGACGAUCCCUAGAUGGUCUGAGAGGAGGAGCAGCGACACUGGAGCUGAGACACGGACCAGAGUCCUACGGGAGGCAGCAGUGGGGAAUAUUGGACAAUGGGCGCAAGCCUGAUGCAGCGAUGCCGAGUGUAUGGAGAAGGCCUUCGGGGUGUGAAGUACUUUCAGCGGGGAGGCGUUACCCGCAGAAGAAGCACCGGCUAACUCCGUGCCAGCAGCCGCGGUAAUUC